rnacentral:rRNA from 1 species
UACGUAGGGUGCGAGCGUGUCCGGAUUUAUUGGGCGUAAAGAGCUUGUAGGCGGCUCGUCACGUCGGGUGUGAAAACUCGCGGCUCAACCGCGAGCCUGCACCCGAUACGGGCGGGCUGGAGUUCGGCAGGGGGAGACUGGAAUUCCUGGUGUAGCGGUGGAAUGCGCAGAGUAUCAGGAGGAACACCGGUGGCGAAGGCGGGUCUCUGGGCCGAUGACUGACGCUGAGAAGCGAAAGCGUGGGGAGCGAACAGG